rnacentral:rRNA from 1 species
AGAUUGAACGCUGGCGGCAUGCCUUACACAUGCAAGUCGAACGGUAGAGUAGCAAUACUUGAGAGUGGCGAACGGGUGAGUAAUAUAUCGGAACGUGCCCAGUCGUGGGGGAUAACGUAGAGAAAUUUACGCUAAUACCGCAUACGAUCUAAGGAUGAAAGCGGGGGACCGUAAGGCCUCGCGCGAUUGGAGCGGCUGAUAUCAGAUUAGGUUGUUGGUGAGGUAAAAGCUCACCAAGCCGACGAUCUGUAGCUGGUUUGAGAGAACGACCAGCCACACUGGGACUGAGACACGGCCCAGACUCCUACGGGAGGCAGCAGUGGGAAUUUGGACAAUGGGCGAAAGCCUGAUCCAGCAAUGCCGCGUGCAGGAAGAAGGCCUUCGGGUUGUAAACUGCUUUGUACGGAACGAAACGGUCUGCUUUAAUACGAGUGGGCUAAGUGAACGGUACCGUAAGAAUAAGCACCGGCUAACUACGUGCCAGCCAAGCCGCGGUAAUCGUGA